UCUCCUUCCUGCUGCCUUGUAAAGAAGGUGCCUUGCUUCCCUUUCUCCUUCCGCCAUGGUUGCAAGUUUCCUAAGGCCUCUCCAGCCACUCUGAACUGGCUGCAGUAACAAAUUACCACAAACAGCGUGGCUUAAAGCAACAGACAUUUCUUCUCUCGCAACUCUGAAGGCUGGAAGCCCAGAAUCAAGGUGAUGGCAGAGUCAUGCUCCCUCUGAGGUUCUGGAUGGACAUGCAUUUUGCGAGGAUAGCAGUCAAUGGUACGGGAAAUGAUGCUUGCUCUCAAGGAGCCCAUCGUCUGGUGGAAGGGGAGCAGACCUGUCAACAUAGAGGAGCGAUGUGGUGAUUGACAGAGGUAUGCUGGAGCAGAGAGAGAGCACGUGUGCUGGGAGGACACCUGAACCAAUCUCUGAGGGGAUAGGAGCUGGUCAGAAGAAGGGUGUGAGUAAAGGUGGGAGAAAUGGUCUGGGGCAUGCAGAGAACUCCCAGAAACUGGUGAGGGUGGAGCCCAAAGAAGGGAUCAGGGAGUGAUGAGACAAGGCUGGGAGGUGAGCAGGGGGCAGUUGUGGAACACCUUGGACACCACAGGCCUUUAUCUUACAGGCAGCCAAUCAGAAGCCAACGAAAUACUUUACGCAGGAAAAUGAUAAGGCCAAAUGUAUCUGGAAAACUGACUCUGGCAUCCUUGUGGGUUGGGUUAAAGGGUGAGACUGGAGGCCAGCGAACUAGUUAGAUGCUGUUGCUAGUGCAGGCUAGAGAUGUGAGGCUGUCAGCGGCUGAUGGGGGUCUUGGCCAGUUUGUGCCCACUGAUAUUCCAGAGAUAAACACUGUGGACCUGCAUCACAAACACCAUUCUGCAGGUAGAACUUGACCUUCAUAAAAGGAAGACAGAUAAAGACAUCAGAAAUUGUUUUUUAAGAGCAAAUGUUGGAUUUUCAAGGGAUCUGAAAUCAAGGUUGAAUUUUCCAAUGAGCCACCUGGACUAUUCUUGGCAUUUAGACAUCCCAGGGUUUGCUUUCCAUUGAUUUUCCAGUGGGAGCCUCCUUCUCAUGCGUGAUCUUCCUCUUAUACCCUCGGCCCCUUGUCAGCUGCAGUUUCUGACAAGGUCUUAAAUUUUUCAAUGGUGCCCAGCUAGCUGGUGAAGGAGCCCUUAGGUCUGGGCAGCCUGGGGAUGCCCCUUUCCUGCAAGACUGUGUCAGGCACCCUCUUUCCUGGGCUAAGAUCUUCCAUGGGCCAAUGCCAAUGUGAGUGGCAAGGGAGUACAUGCAGUGUAGGGCCCUCUUUCCUAGGUCACCUGUGCCCUUGCGUGGCUGUUCUGAGUCAGAGGCCCCCUCCAUUUAGGACAUUGUAAUGCGGCCUUCUUUCUCUACUCCAGACAAAGGAGAUACGGCACAGGCAGUUGUAAGUGCGAGUCUGGGGUGUCAAUAUCACUCUGGGUGGGGUUGGUUGGCAGUUGAAAGGCUUCAGGGCCAAGCUGUGGGACCACCCACUGUCUGAUGGAAGUGGGUGAUGAAAGAAGCUUGACAAAGCGCAACCGGAGAGAGAUGGGACUGGGGGUGGAUGGGGGAGUGGACACUCCCAGCGGCAUCCCAGACAACUGUUUUCAUUGAUGCGUUCUAUAGGGAAAAAUUGUGAAAGACUUUGAAAUGGACCAAAAAGAUGAUUGGGUGUCUUGUCUAGCAUACUCUUCUGGUUUUUUUUCCAGGCUUUCAUGGUCUUUGAGCUAUUUUACAGCCCUGAAAGUUACAGAAAGCUGGUAAUAACACAAUGAGGAAAGGGCGUGUGAGGCCACAGCAAGAGGACAUACAAGCCAGGAAGUGAGCCCCCAUCAGACACCGGAACCUUGAUCUUGGACUUCCAGCCUCCAGAACUGUGAGAAAUAGAUUUCCCUUGUGUAAGCCACCAGCCUAUGGUGUUUUCUUACGGCAGGAGGAGCAGACUAUGAUCGGAGCAGACUAUGAGAGCUAUAUUUCAGGUUCUUUGAGAUUUUCUUUUAACCAAUUGUAAUAUCUUACUGGUUCCCCCAUGAAUUAAUGAACUAAAUACAAUUUUUGACAUAGUUUGAUUAUUUGCAUGAGAGUCACAAUUUUGCCCUUAAGCAAAAGUUAUUCUUUGACCAUCCAAUCAUUCGGCAGAAUGUUCGUUGAUGCUAUCUCUGGCCCCGGCACUGUGCUGAUGGCUGGAAAUACAAAGAUGAGUUCAACAGAGUCUUUGUCCUCCAAGAGCUCCUUGUGUGGUGCAAAGGUGGGCAGGAGGCACACCAGUGAGCAUCAGAGUGGCGGUGCUGAGGCUGCAGUUGGAGGAGGUCGCUUUUGGCAGGGAUUUGGGGCAGGGCUGGGUUUUUCUUCCUGGGAAAAGCAUGAGUUUUGGAGUCAGACAGGCCUAGCUCUAAGUCCUAAAUUCACCACUUCAAAGCUUUGUGGCUUCAGAUACAUUCACUUUCUUAUCUGUGAAGUAAGGAUAGCAUUUUCAUCUUAAGGGUUUAUGAGAAAUAAAUGAGGUAUUGUGUGCAAAGAGCUUAGCCUAGUGCCUGGCAUAUACUAAAUGCUCAACAAAUGCUAGUCUCAGCCCUCUGGGCUAUGAUUUCAGAGGUGCAAGGAAGGCCCCUGAUUCCUUCCUCUCCCUGCUAGGAGACACCUGAAAUUCCUUUAGGAGAGGAAAACCCUUUCAUUACACAGCUAGCGAAGCACUCCCAGUAUAAACAGCUUGGGACAGGAAGUGUAGUGACUCAACACACGUUAGUAUGUAAUUUGCUGAUGCCAGGGCUUCCGCUUAGAGAAAGUUUUCAUAAGCCUAACCCCUUGCCUGUGGGUGCCUCUGAAAGCACUUUCCCAUCUCUGACCUCAUGUAAUCCCCCCAGCGCCUAUCUGGGGAGGGCAGGCCCUGGAGGAUCAUCCUCACUCCUUUUACCAAGGAGGGGACUUGGGCUUUGAGCCAUGAAAUAAAUAGUCCAUUCCAGGUUACCCAGUCAUGAUCCAGGAGCUGGGCCUCAGACCUCGGUCUCCAGGCUCAAACAACGCACCCUCUCCUCCAGUGGAGAGAAGAGGGGAGAGGAAUCACUCUAGAAGAGAACUUGGGGAACCUGAGCUUAGAGAAGCUGAGUCAACCCUGGGUGGAGGAAGCAGAGCCUCCCGGGAUGGUGGGUUAAGGAUCUGCUCUCUAUAAACUGUGGAAUUCUUAUCACGUUGGGCCUUGAUUUCUUCUUUUCUAAAAUGGAGGUGGUGAUGCUUGUCUCACUGGGCUGCUGCAGGAAUAAAGGGGAUAACACAAGCAGUGUCUAGCACAAUGCUAGAUGGAAGGCUUCAAGCCACACAACAGCAGGAACAAACCUGACUUGUUCCCCAUUGCAUCCCAGCAAUCGGUAAAGCACCAGGCACGUGGUAGCUGCUCCAGUAGUAUUCAAUAAAGGAAUGAUCAGUGAGUGGCACGGGCUCAGUGCACGGCCACCGUUGUAGUCACGGUGUAGGAACAGGAUUGCUGGUGGAACUCACUGAGCUUGGGGAUGUGGAAGAGAGGCUGGAGGAGCCGGGUCUGCAGACACCUUUCAGUGGCUGUGGGGAGGGCAGGCUCAAGGAAGAAUUCGGUUUCUUUGGGUGUGAGGACUUUGGGACACCUUCUGCUCCAAAUCAAAGAGCGAGGAGCUGGGAUACUGCACACCCAGGCCAGGGGACAGGGUGACUUCAGGUAGAAGUUGUAGGCAUGCAGGUAAGCCCCAGAGAGCAUAAGGAGAGAGAAACCCAGGUCCAUGCUAAACCAGCAGGGGCAGCCCAUGUGGGUGGUGCAAGGACCAGACAAGCAGCCUCCAGGAGGUGGGCAGAGAGCUUCGCUGUGGCCCCUGUGCUGGGGGGCAUGGGUGGCCCAGAGGGACGCAGGCUGCCACUGUAUUUCCUGAGAACUGCUUUCCCAGCCCCUGGCCAUUCCUUCCACUAGGAGCCAUUUUCAUUCCUACUCUGACCCUCCUGAGACCAUGGCUCCUGGUCAGGCCCUGAUCUCCUAGUGGAUUUCUGCUGAUUUGGAUGUUUUUGACAGAGCGUGUUUUUAGGAGAGUUCUGCUCCUAAGCCGCGAACUCUGCCUCCAUCUGAAUCUUCACCUCUGCUUUCUACCUCCCCUCUUCACUCACAGCUGCUGGCUCAACUCUCCCACUUAAAACAAAACAAACAAAACCCUCUCUCCCUUGGCCCCAGCUGUCUCUUCAGAUCACGGCUUAUCUUUUCUCCCCCAACUCCUGUCUUGAGAGGAUUAGCGUUCCUUGCUGUCUGAUGUUCUCCUCUCUCAUUCACUUUUUUUUUUUUUUACAAAUAGACUUCCAGGUGUUUUUCCUCUGAGUGGCAUCCCCAGUGGUCUACAAAGUCACCAAGUCCCCUCUCCAGUCACCCCCUUACCACUUCUAAAUCCAACUGCUGUUCUCAGGACGUUUCUGCCUCCCAUGGCAUUUGGCCAUGUGGGCAAGUCCAGCCUCAGGUCCCAGGCGGAGCCCUGCCGGUGCCUGCGGCCUUGGCCUUGGCUUUGACCUUGGCUGGCUUCUUGCUUUCCUUCGAUGGUCACCCUCCCCCUUUGCUGUGAGUGCUCCUCGAGUGGAUCCCAGUCCUCACCUCCUCCCUCCACGCGUUCUCCCUGCGUGAGCUCAUCCUCCCUGUGGCUUUAAUUACCAUCUGUAGGCUGCUGGCUGCUCCAGUGUGGGCUUGUCUCAGGAGCAACAGCCCAGCAGCUUAAGAGCAUCUCCAUCCCCACAUGUGUGAACUUGAGCACGUUCUGAACACCCUUCCCUGCCUUCCUGCAUGGCCACCAUCUCAGUGAGCAUCUCUCUAGUUGCCGGUCAGAAACCUGGACAGGAUUCCUGAUUCCUCCUUCUCUGCCAGCCCCCAUACUCAGUCCUUCUGUUUGAUUUGACCCAACUGUCCCUUAGGUUUUCCUCCUAAUUUGCUUUCCAGUCCACCUGCUUAUCUCCUGCCCGCCUCGGUGAUGGCUUCCUCCCAGGCUCCCUGCCUCAGUUGCCCCGGUUCACUCCCAUGGGCUCAGCAGGUCUUGGACUCUGCCUCACGUCUUGGGCUUCUCUGUCCGUCUGUUCCCUCCCUCCAAGCUUUCUUCAAGCCUCACCUCUUUGAAAGUUCAUGUCACAGUUAAGAGGGAUAGUCUGGAGCCCACAGACCUAUUUCAAAUCCAGAUGUCACCAUUUAGCAGCUUUGAGACCUCAGCCUCAGCAAACUUCUUACCUGCUCUAUGCCUCAGUCUCCUCUUAUGUAAAUGGCAAUCCCUGCUUCUCAUCAUUGCUGUGAGUCAAGUGUGUGUCUCUAGCUGCUUUUGUAUUCUAGAGAAAGGCAUGCAUUGCUGCCAGGGAGACAGGGAUCUUUGUUCCGGAAAAUGACCCACUGAUUGUGUCAGAUAAAGCUCUCUACCCACCAGAGUGAAACUGGGAAGAGAAGGCCAAAGAGUGGGGCUGAACUGCUCCAAAGACAAAAGCCAUUUCAGCAGGAAGCGAUGAGAACCAGGAAAUGGGGGAGUGCGGUAGGGGUGAGGGGAGUCAACCACGGGAUUGGAGGGCAGAGGCUGAAGACAGAACCCGGAAGAUGUGACUGGUUCAGCAGGAACUGGCAAGAGCAAGAGGCCUGAGUUUUAAAUUUCGAGUUGCUCGUUUGGCUAUAAGAAGGUCCCUCCUACUCCCCAGUUACUCCCAACUUCUAGGAAAAUUAUCUUACAAGUUCUGCCAUAGGUUAGUAACAUUUUGGGGGAAAAUUCAGGAUGAGACAGAUCUCAUCUGCCACUUCCUCCAGGAAGCCUUCCUGGACUCUCCCUGUCUCCCAAGUCUGGUUUUGGUAUCUCUUCUUCUGUAGGUCAAUAAGAAGACAACAAACAAUCAAACAAAAACAAAAA
ensembl:lncRNA